rnacentral:rRNA from 1 species
UACGUAGGGUGCGAGCGUUAAUCGGAAUUACUGGGCGUAAAGCGUGCGCAGGCGGGCUUUUAAGCCAGACGUGAAAUCCCCGGGCUUAACCUGGGAAUGGCGUUUGGGACUGGAAGUCUGGAGUGCGGCAGAGGAGACUGGAAUUCCUGGUGUAGCAGUGAAAUGCGUAGAUAUAAGGAGGAACACCGAUGGCGAAGGCAGGUCUCUGGGCUGACACUGACGCUCAUGCACGAAAGCGUGGGGAGCAAACAGG